UGGCUCAGGACGAACGCUGGCGGCGUGCCUAAUACAUGCAAGUCGAGCGAGCUUGCCUAGAUGAAUUUGGUGCUUGCACCAAAUGAAACUAGAUACAAGCGAGCGGCGGACGGGUGAGUAACACGUGGGUAACCUGCCCAAGAGACUGGGAUAACACCUGGAAACAGAUGCUAAUACCGGAUAACAACACUAGACGCAUGUCUAGAGUUUAAAAGAUGGUUCUGCUAUCACUCUUGGAUGGACCUGCGGUGCAUUAGCUAGUUGGUAAGGUAACGGCUUACCAAGGCAAUGAUGCAUAGCCGAGUUGAGAGACUGAUCGGCCACAUUGGGACUGAGACACGGCCCAAACUCCUACGGGAGGCAGCAGUAGGGAAUCUUCCACAAUGGACGCAAGUCUGAUGGAGCAACGCCGCGUGAGUGAAGAAGGGUUUCGGCUCGUAAAGCUCUGUUGGUAGUGAAGAAAGAUAGAGGUAGUAACUGGCCUUUAUUUGACGGUAAUUACUUAGAAAGUCACGGCUAACUACGUGCCAGCAGCCGCGGUAAUACGUAGGUGGCAAGCGUUGUCCGGAUUUAUUGGGCGUAAAGCGAGUGCAGGCGGUUCAAUAAGUCUGAUGUGAAAGCCUUCGGCUCAACCGGAGAAUUGCAUCAGAAACUGUUGAACUUGAGU
rnacentral:rRNA from 1 species